UGGGGGAUAUUGCACAAUGGGCGAAAGCCUGAUGCAGCGACGCCGCGUGGGGGAUGAAGGCUUUCGAGUUGUAAACCUCUUUCGCUAUCGAACAAGGCCCGCUUAGGGUGGGUUGAGGGUAGGUGGAGAAGAAGCGCCGGCUAACUACGUGCCAGCAGCCGCGGUAAUACGUAGGGCGCGAGCGUUGUCCGGAAUUAUUGGGCGUAAAGGGCUUGUAGGCGGCUUGUUGCGCCUGCUGUGAAAACGCGGGGCUUAACUUCGCGCGUGCAGUGGGUACGGGCAGGCUUGAGUGUGGUAGGGGUGACUGGAAUUCCAGGUGUAGCGGUGGAAUGCGCAGAUAUCUGGAGGAACACCGAUGGCGAAGGCAGGUCACUGGGCCAUUACUGACGCUGAGGAGCGAAAGCAUGGGUAGCGAACAGG
rnacentral:rRNA from 1 species